AAAAGUUCAGCAGCAUCUCCUGUUUGAAUCACUUACGCGCAAUCUGUGAGCGCUGCCUGCACAUCAACCAGCAAGAUGAAUAAGCUGUCCGUCGCCUUGCUGUCAGCUCUGCUGCUGGCUUUUUGCAUCUCAUUCCAGAUGGUCCAGGCAGGCGUCAACAGCACCACCAUGAAAACCCCUGUCACAGCCAGCAGCACUGCCAGCCUGAGUGGAAUGACCACCACCGUCCCGCUACUCCUGCUCCCUUUGACCUUAGCGGUGGUCCUCCUCCACGACUGGUCCCGGUGUUGGGACUAACUCCACCCGUCCUGUCGACCCAGAUGGACAGAGGAUGCAAAAGUCUACCGCCUCAAGAUGAAGUUCCCUAAAGAACUUUUUUUUUUCAUCCGUUUUACCAAAACAGGACUCGCCCUUCUUUUCUCUGCACGUCCUGAUCCUUGCUGGGUGUUUAUAAAUGAAUCUUAUUCGGGAAGAACACUGAAUCUCUGUAGAAAUGUGUAUGGGUGUGGGAGAAAAUGUAUCUGUUAAGAAGAUUUUAAAAUGAAGUAGUUCUGAUCAACCUCAUUGCAAAUAUUUGUAUCUAUUUAAGUGCUGUGAAACUUGAGGUAAAUAAAGCUGUAAAAUGUC